rnacentral:rRNA from 1 species
GACGUAGGGCGCGAGCGUUGUCCGGAUUUAUUGGGCGUAAAGAGCUCGUAGGCGGCUUUGUCGCGUCGUCCGUGAAAACCCACACGCUCAACUGUGGGCUUGCGGUCGAUACGGGCAGGCUAGAGUUCGGUAGGGGAGACGUGGAAGUUCCUGGUGUAGCGGUGAAAUGACGCAGAUAUCAGGAGGAACGACCGGUGGCGAAGGCGGGUCUCUGGGCCGGAUACUGACGCUGAGGAGCGAAAGCGUGGGGAGCGAACAGG